GAAGCAGGGACAGUGACCACUGCAUUCUUCACGGGGCUGGCAAGAUAAGCCUCAGCAAUGUCACGCAGCUUAACGAGCACCGUUGAAGAGACAUUAUAACAAAUUAAGUGACAGAUAUUCUGCACAUAUUAAACUCAGACAUCCAACAACUGAAGCAGGAUAUGGUAUGAUAAGAAAUUUGUUGUUUUUUAUUGAUUUUGUGCAGAGGGUUGGAGUCGGGUUAUGAAUACCCGAAUACUUGAAACUCAAUCAGGUCAUGAGUUUCAGAUGAAGUAUGGAUAAUAAUUUAAAAUUUGAGUUCAAGGAUGAAUAAUGCAAACUUAUACCCAGUGCCAUUGUCUUUUACACAAUGCGAGUUUCAGUUGUUUGAUGGUUGAGGACUCCAAGGAGAUCAUGAAUUUCAUUGUGUUCAUAAUCGUAGACGUCAGUUUAGGAACUUUACGGGCAUUCCUUCAAUAAGGCUUCCCCAUAAAGAGCUGAUGACAUGAUCUAGCUGAUAUACAUUACGUGUCAUCACAGAAAGAGAAACUUCACCAGCCUGUCAUAUCAUGCUGAAAACUGAAAGGAAAGCCAUGCGAAUCAAAUUGCAAUGCAGUAAUGAACGGUCUUGAUUGAAAACAGAGAGUACAACAGUUUGUUUCGUCCAAGAACACAUGACUACAUUUUUGCUGCUGUCUACAGCUACCUCGUGCAAGCUCAACAGGCAUUUGUUACUUCCAUUGCCGUCAUUUCAACCAAAAUUAUGACACUUUUUCACACCGCCGACACUGGG